rnacentral:rRNA from 1 species
UACGUAGGGGGCAAGCGUUGUCCGGAAUUAUUGGGCGUAAAGAGCGCGUAGGCGGUCCGGUAAGUCAGCUGUGAAAGUCAAGGGCUCAACCCUUGAAAGGCGGCUGAUACUGCCGGACUAGAGUCCGGAAGAGGCGAGUGGAAUUCCCGGUGUAGCGGUGAAAUGCGCAGAUAUCGGGAGGAACACCAAUGGCGAAAGCACUCUGCUGGGCCGACACUGACACUGAGAGACGAAAGCUAGGGGAGCGAAUGGG